rnacentral:rRNA from 1 species
GACGAACGCUGGCGGCGUGCCUAAUACAUGCAAGUCGAACGCAGUGGGGACGGGUGAGUAACACGUGGGUAACCUCCCAUCAGAGGGGAUAACACUUGGAAACAGGUGCUAAACCGAUACUGAUGGAUGGACCCGCGGUGCAUUAGCUAGUUGGUGAGGUAACGGCUCACCAAGGCCACGAUGCAUAGGCCGACUGAGAGGGGUAUCGGCCAAACCGGGACCGAGACACGGGCCAAACUCCAACGGGGGGCAGGAGUAGGGAAUUUUUCGCAAUGGAAGAAAGGUGGACCGGGCAACGCCGGGUGAGGGAAGAAGGUUUUCGGAUCGUAAAACUCUGUUGUUAGAGAAGCGGUAUCUAACCAGAAAGCCACGGCUAACUACGUGCCAGCAGCCGCGGUAAUUC